AUGAAAAGAUGCAUUGCUGCCGUCCUGCUGGUACUUUCUCUCGCCGCCGACGACCAUGUGGACACCAUUCGUCUUCCGAGCAACGGUCUUGCCGAUGAAGUAGCGACCGCGGCAACGGAGAUCGGCGCCGAGAAGAAGAGGCCGUGGAAGUGCUGCGACAGCCCGUUGUGCAGCAGGUCCAUCCCGCCGCGGUGCCGCUGCAUGGACGCGGUGGAGCAGUGCGACGAGGCCUGCACCCGCUGCGAGGCGUCCAAGUCCGACCCUUCCAAGCGCAUCUGCAACGACCGGUACCAUGGCUGGCCCGGCCCGAACUGCACCGAGCCCGACGCCGACGACGUCCCAAGUGGUGCAGGUCCGGUGGUCGUUGCUCAUCAAGAAACGGUGGCGGAGGAGACGAGGCCGUGGGGGAGGUGUUGCGACCGGCCCCUGUGCACCAGGUCCGUCCCGCCGGCCUGCCGCUGCCUGGACAACGUAGACCGGUGCGCCCCCACCUGCAAGAGAUGCGUGGUGUCUAUCUUUGACCCGACCGACCACUCCUGUGACGACAUCUAUCACGGUGAACCCGGGCCAAGGUGCACUAGGGCCGACCGCAACGGCGACAUCUCCAGUGGUGUUGUGGCGGUGGCGGCAGCCGCAGAGAUAGCCGUUAGCGACAAGAAGAGCAUUGUCGGCGGCGAGGAGAAAGCGAGGCCAUGGAGGUGCUGCGACGAGCCCAUAUGCACCAUGUCGUUCCCGCCGAUCUGCUUCUGCCGCGACAGGGUGAAGAAGUGCGCCAAGACCUGCAACAAGUGCGACCAGGAUGAGUCGGACGCUUCCCGCCACGUGUGCGGCGACUCCUACUUCGGCUGGCCUGGGCCAAGGUGUACCAAGCCAAACGACGACGACGAUGUCCCAAGUGGUAUUGGUCCAGGGGUCUCUGCUCAAGCGACGGCGGCAGUGGCGAGGGUCGAGACGGCGGCAGCGAUGAUGGCUGUUAGCGAGGAGCUCAACGUCGUCGACGGCGAGAAGGCGAGGCCGUGGAAGUGCUGCGACCAGACACUGUGCACCAGGUCUGCCCCGCCGACCUGCUUCUGCCACGACAAGGUGAAGAAGUGCGCCAAGACCUGCAAGAACUGCCUCAAGGACGACUCGGGCACUUCCCUCCGCGUGUGCGGCGACCCGUACUUCGGCUGGCCCGGGCCCAAGUGCACCAAGGUCUAG
rnacentral:rRNA from 1 species